rnacentral:ncRNA from 1 species
GAUACAUAAGGGUCGAAGAGGUGGCUCAUGAAUAUGGAUUUAGUGUUGAGGAAACUGAAUAUAUAGCUAUCCUCAAAAGGCUAAAAGAGGAGAUAGUGCUUCUGAUAAUUCAGAAGGGCGUCGUGAAACACAUUUUGUGGCUCGUCUGUAACUCCCGGAGGUGAGAACACCUCUUUGUACACGGGGCGAUAUAGGAGUCUAGAAGACUGGCGUGUACCUACA